CUGUUCGGGGCUCAGGAAUUAAGAGGUUACAAGAAGGCCAGCCUGCCAAAUCCAAGGAUGGAGACUGCGGAGCACUUAUGGCAACUUCAAGAACAGGGCCUCUCUGCUGUCUUUUGAAGGCAGAAAGGAUUGCCCAAAGAACUCAGAAGGUAAAGAAUGAAGACGCUGGGGAAGAAUGCCUUGCUUGUUCUCACUAGUGCUUAUCAAGCAAACUGAUUCAUAUCAUGCCUACUCUUGAAGAAGAGAAGUGUUUUAUAUACUUCGGCCUUCAUUGCCAAUUCUGUGAUUGGAGCCUCCUCUCCCAUGUAAUGGGGAGCUAGCUAAGGAUGGGGAUCAUGUUUUCUCCUUCUCACGACUCUACAGUAUGGACCAGCACAUGGUUAGAUUCCCAGCAGAUAGUCAGCAAAGGGCGGUGAGUGAGGAAGAAGGAACUAUCAGACAGGAGAGAUAAUGCCUAUGACAGCUGCUAUCUGCUUUCUUCUAGAUCAAGGGAUGGAAAACUACAGUCACC